AUUGAACGCUGGCGGCAGGCCUAACACAUGCAAGUCGAACGGUAACAGGAAACACCUUGCUGUUUCGCUUUCGAGUGGCGGACGGGUGAGUCAUGUCUGGGAAACUGCCUUAUGGCUGGGGUUAACUACUGGAAACGGUAGCUAUUACCGCAUAACUUUUCAAGCCCAAAGUUGGGGACCCUCAGGCCUCUUUCCUUUCGCUUUUCCCAGAUGGCAUUAGCUAGUUGGUGGGGUAACGGCUCACCAAGGCGACGAUCCCUAGCUGGUCUGAGAGGAUGACCAGCCACACUGGAACUGAGACACGGUCCAGACUCCUACGGGAGGCAGCAGUGGGGAAUAUUGCACAAUGGGCGAAAGCCUGAUGCAGCCAUGCCGCGUGUAUGAAGAAGGCCUUCGGGUUGUAAAGUACUUUCAGCGGGGAGGAAGGGAGUAAAGUUAAUACCUUUGCUAAUUGACGUUACCCGCAGAAGAAGCACCGGCUAACUCCGUG
rnacentral:rRNA from 1 species